UCAAUGUUGAAGAGUGAACGAGCUAACUGAAAGAUUAAAAAAUCUAAGAUAGUAAUCUUAUAAAUUCAAUAUUUCUAAGAUUAAAUACGAAUCUAACUAAUAGUGUCGUCCAAAUUCUGGUGCCAGAAGACUCGGUAAUACCAGAGACGCGAACGUUAAUCAUCUUGAAUGGGCAUAAAGGGUUUGUAGGCGGCUUAUUUAUGAAUAGGCUAGAAUCUUAUAGAGGUUAUAAAAUAUUUAGAGGAGGGCUGAUAUCCUUAGAUCCUGAGUGGAAUCCUAAUUGCGAAGGCCAUUUUCCAAUAAAGAUUGACCUGAGACACGAAAGUUAGGACAGGAACUAGGAUUAGAGACCCUAUUACCCCUAAUGUAAACGAUGAAUGGAAGAUAUUUACUAUAACAGUAAGUGUCGAAGUGAAUACGAUAACCAUUCCCCUUGCCAGUAUACUUGCAUAAGUGAAAACAAAAAAAUUAGUCGG
rnacentral:rRNA from 1 species